rnacentral:rRNA from 1 species
GUGCCAGCAGCCGCGGUAAUACGGAGGGUGCGAGCGUUGUCCGGAAUCACUGGGCGUAAAGGGCGCGUAGGUGGCGCGACAAGUCAACGGUGAAAGCCCGGGGCUCAACCCCGGGUCGGCCGUCGAUACUGUUGGGCUUGAGCACUGUAGAGGCAGAUGGAAUUCCGGGUGUAGCGGUGGAAUGCGUAGAGAUCCGGAAGAACACCGGUGGCGAAGGCGGUCUGCUGGGCAGUAGCUGACACUGAUGCGCGACAGCGUGGGGAGCAAACAGGAUUAGAUACCCUGGUAGUCC